rnacentral:rRNA from 1 species
GUGUCAGCAGCCGCGGUAAUACGGGGGGGGCAAGCGUUGUUCGGAAUUACUGGGCGUAAAGGGCGCGUAGGCGGCCAGACAAGUCCCUCGUGAAAUCCCACGGCUCAACCGUGGAAUUGCGGGGGAAACUGCCUGGCUUGAGUCCGGGAGAGGGGAGUGGAAUUCCCAGUGUAGCGGUGAAAUGCGUAGAUAUUGGGAGGAACACCGGUGGCGAAGGCGGCUCCCUGGACCGGUACUGACGCUGAGGCGCGAAAGCUAGGGGAGCAAACGGGAUUAGAUACCCCGGUAGUCCUAGCUGUAAACGAUGAGCACUUGGUGUGGCGGGUGUCGACCCCUGCCGUGCCGACGCUAACGCAUUAAGUGCUCCGCCUGGGGAGUACGGUCGCAAGGCUGAAACUUAAAUGAAUUGACGGGG